rnacentral:ncRNA from 1 species
UGUGGCUUAGAAGUUCUUGGUGUUCAACUCAUUUACCCAGCCAUGUUUGAACACGAUGUUCAAACAAGCCGCCACUGAGCCAUGGACGGCGAGUUGGCGGCGUUGGCGUCCACUCACAAUACUUACAUUGAACACCUAGAACUUCUUAGCUAC